UUUCCGGUUGAGGUGGCGGAGGGGCAGGUCGCAUGCCUCCUGAUCUAUGAGCUCCAGCGAAAAGGCUGGAUGAUGAACUCUGCGGGUACUGUUCGUUGAUGCUACCAUGUGCCCUCAUGAACUGAGGUACCAGAGGAGGAACAUUAGGAGCUCUAGAUCUAGAGCCAGAUCUGCAAACAAAAAAGAAAUUAUCACGCAUUGAUAUUGUGCAUUAUUCUGCAAUAAUUUCUGCUAUAACAAAAUAGUUUGAUCCUGAAGGGAUACUUGGGAAAGUGUUAUUGUCUGUAAAGCCUUGGACUAGUUUGUAAACGGUUUCAGAAAAUAUUAUCACAUCAUAGCAUGCGCAACCAACAUAGCAUAAAGCUGACAUGGUAGAGGAAACAAUGCAACAACAUCAAAUGUAGGUCACAGCAUCCUUUUAAGGGUAAUACUAGCAUAACGCCCUUGCGUUGCUACAAAACUACAAAAUAAUUGAAGUUGUAUUGGAUUAGCAGUAUAGAACAACCAAUGGACUUGCAACACUGCAAAGAAAAACUCAAACAAGCACUGCAGAGACAUAGCAGCACUGACAUGUACUUAUAAAAUACUCUCAUUCAAAACAUGAGUGAGGUGAUGGCUUGUUGGUUUGAUUAAAUUGGGUGUAGAGACUCCCCAACCCCAUUGUAUUUUACUGCUUCACUUAUAAAAAAAAAACAGAGGGGUCUUGUGGAUUCUAUAUGGAUGAGGAAGAUUGGGAUGGGGUGGGGAGUGAACUCUUCCAAACCGGAGGUCUGGUGAAUUCUAAUGGAUGGAUGAUUGGUUUACUACCAAUAUUUUAUUUGAGGGAAUUGCUAGCAAUAUUUGGCUAGCCAAAUGUUCACAUUGCCAAUAUUAGCAACUUUAUGUGAGAUUGGCAAGACAACUUGGUGACCAACCAAUUAGAAGCCAAUAUUUAGCACACUGCCAAAUAUUGGCAUGCCAAUUUUUGGCACCAAACCAGUUAUGCUCUGAACUCACCGCCGCAGCCACCACCAAAUCCAAAUCCAAUUUAUAAGAUAGUAGAGAUAUAUGCUUUCGACCAACAUCUUCUCAUUGUUAAGCUUACAUGUUACAAUAAGGAUACUAUCUCUGUUCCUAAAUGGAUGGCGUUAGUCAAACCUCUCAAUCUUUGACAUCUAACUAACAAAAAACUAGUUCUAUCGGUUAGGUGCAAAUGGUACCAUUGGAUUCGCCAUGAAAAACGGUUUUGCAAUGUAAAGAAUUGAUCCCCUAUUUACAUAAUUAUACAGAAGCAAUGGUCAAAGUAAUGUUUGAAACUAUUCAAGUUCAGAAACAACACCUGUUUUCGGGAGUUAAUAUUUUGAUAAAAGCACGAAGGCAAUAUUUUUUAGUGUCUUUUCAGUUACCAAAGCAAGGCCAUACGGGCAUCAACAGUACUGUCAUGCCUUAUGUUACCCCUAAUAAAACACUAAAUCUCGAUAGAACAUGAUGGUCUCCGUGAUGCAUAUCACAUCUCAAGACAAACAAAUUCCCCGGGUGCAUUGUAUCUAACUUAUCAUUUUGGCAUCAUAAACUCUAGUCACCUUCUGAACAAAAAUAAAUCAACAGAUGUCCUUCCACACUCCUCUCGUUACAUAUGUGUUGGAAAUAAUCUUCACUGCAGAGCAUGUUUCAGUUUUCUGCUUCAUUGUCUCAUAUAUGUUGUUGUGCCUAACCCCGCAAUUUUUUUUUAUAGCUAUCUUGUACAUGAAAGACAGCUCCAUUCUCCAUCACCGAAAACACUAGGGGCUCCUUUGAUUCAAAGGAUUUUCGUAGGAAUUUGAGGAUUAGAAUCCUUAGCAUUUUUCCUAUGUUGAUUGUUUGACUCAUAGGAAUAGGAAUUUCUCACAAGGGUUUCUUUGUACACUUAACAUAUGAUUUCUAACAUCCACUCAAACCUCUUUGAAAGAAUACUUUGUUUUUUCUAUGAUGCAAUCAAACAACCCAAAAUCAUGAAGGAUUGAGAAAACCAUGACAUUCCAAUCUUAUGUUUUUCCUAUUCCCGUAUUUUUAGAAUGCUGUGAAUCAAAGAGACCCUAGAUGGCAACACUAGAGAUUUGACAAGACCACACUAUGGAGAUGCCCUAAUAGUAUGUCAUGACAGCGGAAGUAGACAAGAGUUUACCCAUUACUGAAGUACGAUGGAGAAACAACAGAUCCUCGACGUUGGCUAUCACCAUCCAUCCUUGCAGCCCUCAUUGUUCCAAAAGGGACCCCUGGCUGCUCCGUCACCCCGUUAUUGCUGUUGGAUUGCGCAUAGGAAUGGGGAAGAUGCGCCCAAUGGUUAUGAUGGAAAUCGGUGGGUUGCACUGUUUGCAAGGGCCUAUUAUCUGAUGGGCCAGCUAGGUGAUUCCAGGGAUCAUGAUAAGCGGAACCAUCCAUAGUUCUCUCGGGGACAUGGGAGCUUGACGAUGAUGCCAGCGAUGGAAGAGGAUGCAAGUAUGCCACAUAUGGGCAAGGAUGUGCCCCUGGUGCAGCAGAUACAGAUAGGUGCUCCGGAAACACAUGUUGUCCCAUAAAGUCAUGAACUGCAUGAACCAUAUCAAGACAUGUUUAGACCUUAACAUAACUUAAACUUACAAAUAGAUGCCAUUUGAAUAAGAACUUACAAGUAACUGGAGGUGAUGAUUCUCCUUCCCUGGCAGAAAAGGGUAAACGUUUAGCAACACAACAGAAUAAUAGCAUAAUUUUCCCAUAUGCUGAAAACUCUUAAUAUAAGUAUGACAUAACCAUGAUCUCUGGAAGUACAUUGUACAGAACAAGUGUGAUACAGCAACAGACAACCAUUUGAUGCGGUAUAUGUUGACUAACUGAUACUGGCAUUAAGAAAUGACAGGAAUGACCGAGUUCCCAAUUUUGCCAACCAUCAGUGGCCGGUACUUUGGCUAAAAUUGUGUCUGUUGUAGAUAGACCGUAUCACCAUGUCAGCAUGGCUUGUAAACUAUGCACUAUGCAUGUCACAAGAUCCAUGUAUACUCUAUGACAAGCUGCUAUGAAGAUUGUCAAUAACCUCAUGCAGAAUGACAGGGUUAAGCCUAUCCAGAAUUGCAGAUUGUUAGACCCUUCAACACAAAAGGAUAAACUGAAAAAGGUGUUCAUCUGAUUUUAUUGGAUCACUUGAAUAGACUGUAGACAAAACAUAGUUCUAAGUUACCAUUUUCAUCUUUAGUCUCCCUACAGUAAACGGACAAGUGUAACACAUGACAGUACAAAUACAACAUCUAAUGAAAACAAAUAAUAGAAACUAGUUAUGGCCCCACAUUUUCUAUAUGAGCAAGAUACGAUAGGUGAAAUAUUUGAGCUACAAGACUUGCGCUACAAAUUUACAGGACAAAAAUAGAACCUUUAUAUGAAAGCUAUAUGUAGAUCUGUGGAUGCACGGAAACUAACUCUCUGGAGAGUUAUUACAUGAGCAAAAAUGAUAAUUUGGAGUAUAGAACAUACUCAAAGAAUGAUGGAAGCUGCGCUAAGCGACCAAAUGGACACCAAUGAAAACGAAAUGGCUGCAGAUUCAAGAUAUAUAUUUGUCAGAAUGGGCAUGCAGGAAUAAAUUCUAAGAUAUAAUUAUCAAUGUAUAGAGAAGUAAGAGAAAAAAAGUAAGGAAGUUAAAAUAAGACAGCAAACAAACAAUCAAGAAUAAAAGAACUCAUAUGACUUACAAAUAGGCUGCACAACUGUUCCAGACAAAUACAAUAAUGAUGCAUAGACAUGCAGAGAAGUUGAAUAAGCAGAAAAACUUAGAUCACAGGACUACUCAUGCAUUUGGCAGAAUGUGGAAUAUAACGGUAGGGAUAAACAGCUAAAUUAUUUGAGAAAACUCCAGGCUGAAGCACUCAGCAAGUCUACACUGGUUAAUGCAUAACAAAAUUAGCAUGACUCUAGCGUAGUAGUGUCUUACUUAUUUCAAAAGUAAUCCACAGUGUAGCCUUUAACUGAAUGGACAAUAUCUACAGAAACAAAGCAAACAAUCUGGACACAAGAUGAACCACCUUGAAAUAAAAGAUAAAAGAAUAUUUUUCUAUGAUGUUACAUAAGACAGGGUCAGAUUUGAGGCAUAAGAAUAUUGCUCUGUAAGUGCACAACUAAAGCAUGGUUUCUGCAAUAUUGUAUCAAAUUUAUAAUAGCAUGAUGACUCUGGUUACGAAAUUUACAUAAACAGCCAGCAACCUAUCAGAUCAGUGUUAAAAGACUUUGGUGGUGAAGAAACCCAAAUGGCAAUCAAAUGUUUCCAGUAAAAAUAUGUACAAACUAAAGCUUGUGUUAUUAGAGGAAUACAAGGCAUAUAAAAUUUUGCAUAAAAAUGGCAAGUAUCUACAAAAUAAAUGGUUAAAUAAUCAAAAAUGGCCAAGUGUCAACCAUGAACCAUUUGAGUGCAGACAAACUGCACAUCGCUAGGUAAACAGAACAUGGCUAAAAUUUCAAACACAAGAAAAUUAUGUUGCAAACAAUGCACAUGCCAACAAGAAAAAAAAAUACAGAUCACUACUUAAACAACAAUUUUCAUGAUAUUCAAGAAUGAAGUUCACAUGGUCACGUACCAUCUCAGAGUAACUAACAUCAUAGAGGUCCUCUUCAUGAGCCCACUCAUCCAUGUUAAUAUCCUGUGAGGGACGGGAGCCAUUAGCAUAGAGCCAAUUCCCUUUCUCAAUUUUGCGGCAGUUCGGGCAUUGCAUAACUCCUUUGGCAUUGAAUGCCGAUCCAAUGCAAUCUGAAAAUGUUGACACUCAGGGAUUAAACUAUUUGCACUCCAAACAAACGGCAUCCAUAACAUGCCCCUCCGUGGCUAACUGACAAGUGGCUCCAGGGCCCCAAUGUCAAUGAGACGUGGAAAUGAUUAUUCUUUCCUUUGAAUAAACCAAAGAACAACAAACAGUAUGAUUAAGGAGCACCGCUUUUAGGUUGGUUGAAGCAUAUCAUAGUAUCAUGAUGAAAACAGAAUAAGCAGUACUGUAUUAAACCGUGUAAUUACACUUCUGCACCCCAAAGGGCCACCACAACCAUAUCCGCUUGCACAAAAUUGCUUCUCAGAGUCUAAUCUUACCUUACAUACUUCACGCUGUUGGGGUUAACCCUGUUGUCUAGGUGUUUUGUUCAUGUUUCAUUGUGAUGCAUGUCACUGUUACCAUAUAGAGGCAAACUAAGUUCUUGCAAGCUGCAUGUGUGGCUUCAUGGCCCAGAAUCAGAUCAGUAAAGAGCAAAGUGUGCGCACUGCUGGCAAAUAGGCGGCCAUUAGUCAAGUGCAUAUAUGCACAUGUUGCUACAAUUAGUUAUGACUUAUGUGUUAAGUAACCCAGUAAUUAGUGCAUGCAGUGGAGAUAUGGCCUGAUUGUAUGUGUUAGUGUCAGGCUACAUCCUACAUGCAUGCAAUGUGAUCUCAUAUGGCCUUUGCAUGAGAAGAGGCUAUGCUAGUGCCAAAACUAUCUGGGAGUGAAGUAAGUGAAGAGCCAUGCUCAGAUCAAGCAGUCAUGGACUCAAUUGUGUGAUGUUUCCUUAUAAAAAAGAAAGGACUUGCAACCAUUUGUAAUUGUUGUGUGAGAUGAUAGAGGAAGGAAGAAAAACGCGUUGGCUAAAAGGUGACAACUAUGAGCACAAAACUCUUGUGUGUGUGUAAAGUGUGUCCUUCCUGUGUACUGUAUAUGUGAACUUCCUCGGUUAAGUUAGCGAUCACAAUACAUCCAUUACAGUAUCAUACUGAGAUCAACAGCCAACCCGGGCUGCUUGACGGAAUCACCAAAUUCAUAACUACUGAAGUUUUGAGUAUCAUCUUUAAGGCCCUCUAGGUCUUAACUUUAAUUCUAGCAACUUCGUGGUAAUGUAUAAAUCUCAUCAAUCCAACAAUCAGCCUCCAAAAUCCAAACUUCCAUCAAAAUUUGAUGUCGUCUGGACAACUGCCUCAAAAGCCCGAAAAUUCUCAGAAAAAGGAGCACAUUUUACAUCGAAUUCUUGUUGAAUCUAGACAAACGAACUCUAUUCCGCCGAAAUAACAAAGAGCCUAGGUCAAUCGAGACACAAUUAUGUCAUGUACCAUCCCAAUAGUCCUUCUGACACCAAAUCCAACCCCUAAACUGCAACUUCCUAUUGAGCCUGAAUAGGAUAACGCAAAAUACGCUCACAAAACCUACCGUGGCGGGAUACUGGAACUUGGUCAGAACUCAGAACAGCGUGAAACGAUCGCAAUUCAGCCAAUUGCCCACAGACAAUCAUCGUUCGGCGGCUCCUUCACAGCAGAACCGCCGGCCCAGCCAUAAUCCCAAAAAUAGCGUCGCGUAAUUCGGUGCAAUAACGCAUCAACAGAUCGGACCAUAGCGACCCCUUACCAAGGUGGAACUCGUGACCGCACUGCAGCCUCGCCGUGG
rnacentral:lncRNA from 1 species